AAGCAGUAAGGCUGAGUAUUAGGCAAAUCCGGUACUCAUUAAGGCUGAGCUGUGAUGGGGAGAAGACAUUGUGUCUUCGAGUCGUUGAUUUCACACUGCCGAGAAAAGCCUCUAGAUAGAAAAUAGGUGCCCGUACCGCAAACCGACACAGGUAGUCAAGAUGAGAAUUCUAAGGUGAGCGAGCGAACUCUCGUUAAGGAACUCGGCAAAAUGACCCCGUAACUUCGGGAGAAGGGGUGCUCUUUAGGGUUAACGCCCAGAAGAGCCGCAGUGAAUAGGCCCAAGCGACUGUUUAUCAAAAACACAGGUCUCUGCUAAACCGUAAGGUGAUGUAUAGGGGCUGACGCCUGCCCGGUGCUGGAAGGUUAAGAGGAGUGGUUAGCUUCUGCGAAGCUACGAAUCGAAGCCCCAGUAAACGGCGGCCGUAACUAUAACGGUCCUAAGGUAGCGAAAUUCCUUGUCGGGUAAGUUCCGACCCGCACGAAAGGCGUAACGAUUUGGGCACUGUCUCAACGAGAGACUCGGUGAAAUCAUAGUACCUGUGAAGAUGCAGGUUACCCGCGACAGGACGGAAAGACCCCGUGGAGCUUUACUGUAGCCUGAUAUUGAAAUUCGGCACAGCUUGUACAGGAUAGGUAGGAGCCUUUGAAACGUGAGCGCUAGCUUACGUGGAGGCGCUGGUGGGAUACUACCCUAGCUGUGUUGGCUUUCUAACCCGCACCACUUAUCGUGGUGGGAGACAGUGUCAGGCGGGCAGUUUGACUGGGGCGGUCGCCUCCUAAAAGGUAACGGAGGCGCUCAAAGGUUCCCUCAGAAUGGUUGGAAAUCAUUCAUAGAGUGUAAAGGCAUAAGGGAGCUUGACUGCGAGACCUACAAGUCGAGCAGGGUCGAAAGACGGACUUAGUGAUCCGGUGGUUCCGCAUGGAAGGGCCAUCGCUCAACGGAUAAAAGCUACCCCGGGGAUAACAGGCUUAUCUCCCCCAAGAGUUCACAUCGACGGGGAGGUUUGGCACCUCGAUGUCGGCUCAUCGCAUCCUGGGGCUGUAGUCGGUCCCAAGGGUUGGGCUGUUCGCCCAUUAAAGCGGUACGCGAGCUGGGUUCAGAACGUCGUGAGACAGUUCGGUCCCUAUCCGUCGUGGGCGUAGGAAAUUUGAGAGGAGCUGUCCUUAGUACGAGAGGACCGGGAUGGACAUACCUCUGGUGUACCAGUUGUCGUGCCAACGGCAUAGCUGGGUAGCUAUGUGUGGACGGGAUAAGUGCUGAAAGCAUCUAAGCAUGAAGCCCCCCUCAAGAUGAGAUUUCCCAACUUCGGUUAUAAGAUCCCUCAAAGAUGAUGAGGUUAAUAGGUUCGAGGUGGAAGCAUGGUGACAUGUGGAGCUGACGAAUACUAA
rnacentral:rRNA from 1 species